UUCCAUUCAGCACCAAAACAUAAUUGAUUCCACUUAUUAAUUCAACUAGUCACCAGUCAUGAUAUAUAUUAUUCCCCACGGCUUCGUAACAAAACAAGUAUCCUAAUGUUAAUACUUGAUAGGUUUUAGAUUCUCACCAAACAAUAAGUGAGAAAUCAUCUGAAUCACCACCCAAUACCCAUCAUCAUAUAUUGUAUUCUUAACCAUAAAAUAUUACUCCCUUCCCUACCUACCUUACACACGUCCAAUUUUUUUUUUAAAAUUUAAUAACAGUGUGUACUCCUAAAUAUGAGCUAAACUGUUUACCCAAUCAUUCAUCUUAGUAUGGUUGAUUAACUUUCAAAAAUAUACUCUAUCCGUUUAACAAAAACAG
rnacentral:lncRNA from 1 species